AUGCAUUGGCCGGGACUGCCAAUUGUGACCUCGGGCAGUACAGACUUUUGUAGUUACUAGUUGCAACAAUUUUUUAUCGUUUUUCAAAAGAUUUAUUAAAUUAAUUAUGAGUAUUAAAUUAGUAUAAUAUAUUUUAAAUCACCUAUAUUAGCAUUUUUUUAAAAAUUAUUUUCAUAAAUUAAUUCGACGUUUGGAAAGAACCACUGCGGCACUGCAUGAUGAACCUAAAAGAAUACGAUUUGAAGAUCCAGGAAGUGAAUAUAAUCCUGAAUCAGAUUAUUGAUCAGAUUCAAUUCAAAUUGAAGACUACGAUGACAAUGAGAAUACUGAUGAUGGUGGAAAUACUACGCCUACACAAAUCACACCUACAAGACGUGUACAGGCAAACGUGACACUACUGUUGUGUACAUGGUUCGACGUAACUGAUUUAAAUCUUUUGAGAAAUCGGUCAAUAUAUUGAUGUUAAACUUGGCUAUUGGCGAUUUUAUUUUUCUAUCAAACACGAUUGUGGUUAUAUUUAACAGUUAUUACCAAAGUCCAGUACUUGGAAAUUUAGGUUAGUAAGCUACAGAGGAAAAUAAAUGUUUAUAACAACAUGAUAUACCUACAUUACCUAAUUUCCGAGCUACGUUACUUUGGGCUGUCAGAUUGAUGGAUUUGUUGGUACCCUUGCCAGAACCGUGUCAACCAUGAAAUCAACUGCCAUAUCGUUGGAUCGAUAUAAUUUAUAUUACGUCCUUUGAAGUCCCUUGGCAAACAAACCAAACAUAGGGCCAGGAUCUGGAUCGGCUUGACAUGGAUAUGUGGAUUAGUUUUUUCAAUCAUACCAUUGUUAAAUUUUGAUUGUGGAUUCACGCCAACGGGUUUUUAAUAAACUGAUCUUUUGACUUUUUGUCAGAUGAUAUAAUAGAUAAAUGGAUUAUGAUGAUAUUCUAUAUAAUAGGUGCAUGGAUAUUACCAUCAAUCAUGGUAUUACACUGCUAUAUGGAAAUGUCGAUAGCUGUUUACGCUAACUCUAAAGCAACCAACAGUAGGAUUGGACAGAGUUCAACAAGAAGAUGAACAAAUUAAACUAGUGCAAUAAUACUAUGAAUAUUUUUUUUACACCAUAGAAGAGGUACCAAACAAAAUCGGAACAUCUUAUGGACUACAUCAUGGAUAAAAUGCGGUUAUGUCGGGAUCUCAACUUACCAUUCGCAGAUACGAGGGAUCACAAGUUGGAAGGUGUAUUGGUCCACAAACUAGCUGUGUAUGCAGUGGGUAGAUCGCACAAGUACGAGGAAGAAUUGAUAAGCGACUUGUUAGACUGUCAACGUCUGACGAACAGGCGUAAUACACAUUUCGCUCGGCCUGAAACGCAAACGGUAAAACAACACUCCCAACUAAUAAAUAGCUACGAAACCAGAUAAGAUUGAAACGCCAUAGGAAGGGAAUUUGCCAUAGACGCAACCACGGGUCAAUAAAACCAAAACGUUUAACAAUUCAGGACCAAAAUAUUUCAAUUGCAACGUCUACAGACACAUCAACCACGACUGUCCGAAACCAAGAAGGCCGUUAAAAUGUUCAAAUUGCGGGGCCGAUGGUCACACACGAGGGAAGUGCACUGUGGACAACGAAGCCACACCUCAAGUGAUUUACAGGGGCUUAUAUUGACACCGGCUGCUCAGUGUGUUUGAUCCUUGGCAGUUUGCAGAGCGAAGCAGCAUCGUUUGGGAACAACCAGAUUACUGGUGAGGACAUCCGACCCACUAUUGCAAGUAAGCUGGAACCAAUCGUUGAGAAUGAGGUACACGUUGUCAAAAGCAUAGGACUCAAUGAACGGCAACAAUUAAUGCAGCUACUUAACGAAUCUAAGAGUUUGAGGGAGCUUGACUGCACUAACUUGAUUAAAGUAGAUCUAACAGAGAACGCGGAUAACCUUACCGGUAACGUGCUACCCAUAUAAGACAUCUCCCAACGAUUGUCAGUGUAUAUAAAAAAUUAUGAAGGAAUGGAGAGAAAGUGGCAUCAUCACGGAAACACAUCCCCCUUGCUAGUCAACAAAAUCACAGGGGAAACACGUUUGUGUGUUGAUUACCGUAAACUAGUAGUAAGUAGGGUACGUCCACCACACACACGCCCACAAUUUAUUUUGCAUCAUAACAUCUGUUAAAUAAAAAAAAUCUAAACUUAUAUUUUACCUGUAAAACAUUACAAAAAAUCUAAACUUAUCAGUUGAAUAGGUAGUUAAAAUAGUCAAUUUUGAAU